rnacentral:rRNA from 1 species
ACAGCAGCCGCCGCGGUAAUACGAGGGGGGCAAGCGUUGUUCGGAAUUAUUGGGCGUAAAGGGCGCGUAGGCGGUUUGGCAAGUUUGGUGUGAAAUCUUCGGGCUCAACUCGAAGUCUGCAUCGAAAACUGCCGGGCUUGAGUAUGGGAGAGGUGAGUGGAAUUUCCGGUGUAGCGGUGAAAUGCGUAGAUAUCGGAAGGAACACCUGUGGCGAAAGCGGCUCACUGGACCAUAACUGACGCUGAGGCGCGAAAGCUAGGGGAGCAAACAGGAUUAGAUACCCGCGUAGUCCCUGUCUCUUAUAC